AGGUGGACCCUCACAAGCAGUGGAGUAUGUGGUUUAAUUUGAAGCAACGCGAAGAACCUUACCAGGUCUUGACAUCCAACUAACGAGGCAGAGAUGCGUUAGGUGCCCUUCGGGGAAAGUUGAGACAGGUGGUGCAUGGUUGUCGUCAGCUCGUGUCGUGAGAUGUUGGGUUAAGUCCCGCAACGAGCGCAACCCUUAUAUUUAGUUGCCAGCACUUCGGGUGGGCACUCUAAAUAGACUGCCGGUGACAAACCGGAGGAAGGUGGGGAUGACGUCAAAUCAUCAUGCCCCUUAUGACCUGGGCUACACACGUACUACAAUGGCCGGUACAACGGGCAGUGAAGCCGCGAGGUGGAACCAAUCCUAAAAAGCCGGUCUCAGUUCGGAUUGCAGGCUGCAACUCGCCUGCAUGAAGUCGGAAUUGCUAGUAAUCGCGGAUCAGCAUGCCGCGGUGAAUACGUUCCCGGGUCUUGUACACACCGCCCGUCACACCACGAGAGUUUAUAACACCCGAAGUCGGUGGGGUAACCGCAAGGAGCCAGCCGCCGAACGGUGGAUG
rnacentral:rRNA from 1 species